UCACCGGCCUUAACCACUCCACUUCGAAACCCCAGUGCCAAAUCCAUGGAGCUCCGAUCAAUCCUUCUUCAACCCCAAUUCCUCCCUAAUCCACCAAUUCCCUCAUUUUGACUCAUCUUGGACCUCAAUUUCCUCCUCCUCCUCCGCUGCCGCCCUCGCCGCCGAUCGGCACCCUGGCCUCGCCGCAGCCCUUAAAAAUUCAGGCGAAAUUCCUAGAUCCGGCGGAGAAUCCUCCGUCUCCGACCCGUUUCCAGCAAAGAUGAAUUCUCGGAAAAGAAAGGGGAUUUCCAGAGCCAAGAGAAAAGACAACAGAUCGAAUUCGGAAGCCGCCAAUGACGGGAGCUCAAGCGAUCGAAGCAAUAGGAAAACAGCGAAAACGAGGAAGAAUGUACUUAAUAAAUUAUUUGAGGGAAGAAGAAAUAAUUUAUGAUCUUAUUUUAAAAAAAAAUGAUGAUUAAAUAAUUAAAAAAGGUU